GCCUUGGUAGCUUAAUCGGUAAAGCAUCAUAGUGUCGCUAUGAUAGAUGUCAGUUCAAAUCUGAUGUAAGGCG